CAUGUCUUCCACCUUUUCACUUCCUUCUUCUCCCAAAACCCUUUUUCAAAGUUCUCUCCUUUAUCCCCGGAACCAAAAAAUAAGAGAAACUCACUUUUAUCUUCGAUUCCAUUACGCAACACACUAAACACCAAUGUCGCCGCCACCGGAACACCAAGGCUCCUCCUUCCUUCGCCGAAUCAGCAUCGCCGCAACCAGAUCGUCUCCAUGGACGCCACUCACGAGCACCAACAACAGCUCGAGGAACUCGACUACUUCCAGAAACACGUCUCCGAUUGCCUCUCGGAGUUGUUACUCUCUCCUUCCUCCGCCGAAUCUUCUCAGCCAUCUGAUCCCAUUCUCUCCAUCCCGUGGCUAAAGAACCUCCUCGACGUUUACAUGUCCUGCGAAACAGAGUUCAAAGGGGUCCUCUCGACGGUCCAGAUCUCCAAGUCUCCCUCUCUAGAGAAGGCUCUGCAAGAGACGCUCGAUCGGAUUCUUAAAUCGCUCGAUAUCUGUAACGCCGUGAGUAACGGCAUUGAUUCCGUUACUCAGAGCCGGCGUCUCGCGGAGAUAGCCGUCACGGCGCUUAAGAAACGGCCGUUAUGUGACGGUGCCGUUCGUAGGGCUAAGCGUGCGUUGACUAGCCUCCUCGCUGGGUUAAACGCCGACGGGAGAGAUAGUAACAACCGAAGGUCAACGUCACGGUCGUGGUCGUUCGGUGGAUCGUCUUGCCACGUCAGCAAGAACUGGUCCGCGGCGAAACAGAUUCAUGCGAUGGCGGGUAACCUGGUGCCGCCACGUGGAGCAGAAGCCUGUGGGUUUACGUGAUGAGCAGUGUUAUGGUUCUCGUGAUGUGGGUGCUUGUAGCGGCGGUUCCUUGCGGGGCAAGCAACGUUCUCGCGGCGGCGCCAUUGCAGCUUCCGAAACAUCAGAGCUGGGCUAGCGCGGCGUUGAACAUUCAGGAGAGGGUUGGUGAGGAGAUGAAAGGGAAGGAGAAGCGUUUUGGUGGUGGUUUAGGGUUGAUGGAGGAGAUGCAGAGGAUGGAGAGGGUUGGGUUGUCUUUGUUGGAGUUCACGGAGAGGUUUAGGUUUCCGGGGGAGGAGGAAGAGGUGGAGGAAGUUGCGGAGAAAGUGGAGGAGAUGGAUGAGAUUUGCCGGGGAAUGGAAGUGGGGUUGGAGGGUUUGCAGAGACAAGUGAGGGUAGUGUUCCAUAGAUUGGUGAGAAGCAGACUAGAGAUUGUUUCGGUUCUUGAUCAAGCUCCAUGUUUUUAAUUUAAUAAUGAAAAGAAAAGAAAAACUUGAUGUGUAUAAAUCUAUAAUAAUUCUUAUGCAUACGCACCCAUAUGUUCUA